AACGCACGAGACCUGCGGACCUGCGGAAGGAUCAUUACCGAGUUUUCAACUCCCAAACCCCUGUGAACAUACCAUUUUGUUGCCUCGGCGGUGCCUGUUCCGACAGCCCGCCAGAGGACCCCAAACCCAAACUUCCUUGAGUGAGUCUUCUGAGUAACCGAUUAAAUCAAUCAAAACUUUCAACAAUGGAUCUCU
rnacentral:misc_RNA from 1 species